CCAAUAGCGUAUAUUAAAGUUGUUGCAGUUAAAAAGCUCGUAGUUGAACUUCGGGGUUUACACAUUGGUCAGGCUUAAUUGUCUGCACUGGUGAGAUGAAUCUCUACCUUCUGCGGAACUUUCAUGCCAUUUAUUUGGUGUGAUGGGAACUCAGGACUGUUACUUUGAAAAAAUUAGAGUGUUUAAAGCAGGCUAACGUCUGACUACAUUAGCAUGGAAUAAUGAAAUAGGACGGACUGAUUCUAUUUCGUUGGUUUCUAGGAUCACCGUAAUGAUUAAGAGGGAUAGUUGGGGGCAUUAGUAUUCAAUUGUCAGAGGUGAAAUUCUUGGAUUUAUUGAAGACUAACUACUGCGAAAGCAUUUGCCAAGGAUGUUUUCAUUAAUCAAGAACGAAAGUUAGGGGAUCGAAGACGAUCAGAUACCGUCGUAGUCUUAACCAUAAACUAUGCCGACUAGGGAUCGGACGAAGUUAAUUUUAUAAUGACGCGUUCGGCACCUUACG
rnacentral:rRNA from 1 species